rnacentral:rRNA from 1 species
CAGUAGCCACGGGAAUACAGAGGGUGCGAGCGUUAAUCGGAUUUACUGGGCGUAAAGCGUGCGUAGGCGGCUUUUUAAGUCGGAUGUGAAAUCCCCGAGCUUAACUUGGGAAUUGCAUUCGAUACUGGGAAGCUAGAGUAUGGGAGAGGAUGGUAGAAUUCCAGGUGUAGCGGUGAAAUGCGUAGAGAUCUGGAGGAAUACCGAUGGCGAAGGCAGCCAUCUGGCCUAAUACUGACGCUGAGACGCGAAAGCCAGGGGAGCGAACGGGAUUAGAUACCCGGGUAGUCCCUGUCUCUUAUAC